AUACGGAGGAUCCGAGCGUUAUCCGGAUUUAUUGGGUUUAAAGGGAGCGUAGGUGGACAGUUAAGUCAGUUGUGAAAGUUUGCGGCUCAACCGUACAAUUGCAGUUGAUACUGGCUGUCUUGAGUACAGUAGAGGUGGGCGGAAUUCGUGGUGUAGCGGUGAAAUGCUUAGAUAUCACGAAGAACUCCGAUUGCGAAGGCAGCUCACUGGACUGCAACUGACACUGAUGCUCGAAAGUGUGGGUAUCAAACAGGAUUAGAUACCCUGGUAGUCCACACAGUAAACGAUGAAUACUCGCUGGUUGCGAUAUACAGUAAGCGGCCAAGCGAAAGCAUUAAGUAUUCCACCUGGGGAGUACGCCGGCAACGGUGAAACUCAAAUGAAUUGACGGGG
rnacentral:rRNA from 1 species